rnacentral:rRNA from 1 species
UACGUAGGGUGCAAGCGUUGUCCGGAAUUAUUGGGCGUAAAGAGCUCGUAGGCGGUCUGUCGCGUCGGCUGUGAAAACCCGGGGGCUCAACCCCCGGGCCUGCAGUGGAUACGGGCAGACUAGAGUGCGGUAGGGGAGACUGGAAUUCCUGGUGUAGCGGUGGAAUGCGCAGAUAUCAGGAGGAACACCGAUGGCGAAGGCAGGUCUCUGGGCCGCAACUGACGCUGAGGAGCGAAAGCAUGGGGAGCGAACAGG